CCUACGGGGGGCAGCAGUGGGGAAUAUUGCACAAUGGGGGAAACCCUGAUGCAGCAACGCCGCGUGAAGGAAGACGGUUGUCGGAUUGUAAACUUCUGUUCUUAGUGAAGAAUAAUGACGGUAGCUAAGGAGCAAGCCACGGCUAACUACGUGCCAGCAGCCGCGGUAAUACGUAGGUGGCAAGCGUUGUCCGGAAUUACUGGGUGUAAAGGGAGCGCAGGCGGGAAGCCAAGUCAGCUGUGAAAACUACGGGCUUAACUUGUAGACUGCAGUUGAAACUGGUUUUCUUGGGUGGAGUGGGGGUUGGCGGAGUUCCGGGUGUGGCGGUAAAAUGCGUAGAUAUUCGUAGGAACACCGGUGGCGAGGGCGGCCAACUGGGCUUAACUGACGCUGAGGCUCGAAAGUGUGGGGAGCAAACAGGAUUAGAUACCCGGGUAGUC
rnacentral:rRNA from 1 species